GAGUUUGAUCCUGGCUCAGGAUGAACGCUCCUUGCGUGCUUAACACAUGCAAGUCGAACGGGAAUGCCACGCUGAUGCGAUUUCGGUCAAAUCAUGUGGCAUUCGAGUGGCGGACGGGUGAGUAACGCGUGGGUAACCUGCCUUACACAGGGGGAUAACACCUGGAAACAGGUGCUAAUACCGCAUAAGCGCACAGGGCCGCAUGGCCCGGUGUGAAAAACUCCGGUGGUGUAAGAUGGACCCGCGUCUGAUUAGCUUGUUGGCGGGGUAGGGGCCCACCAAGGCGACGAUCAGUAGCCGGCCUGAGAGGGCAACCGGCCACAUUGGGACUGAGACACGGCCCAAACUCCUACGGGAGGCAGCAGUGGGGAAUAUUGCACAAUGGGGGAGACCCUGAUGCAGCGACGCCGCGUGAGUGAAGGAGUAUUUCGGUAUGUAAAGCCCUAUCAGCAGGGAAGAACAAUGACGGUCCUUGACUAAGAAGCACCGGCUAAAUACGUGCCAGCAGCCGCGGUAAUAGGUAUGGUGCAAGCGUUUUCCGGAUUUAUUGGGUGUAAAGGGAGCGCAGGCGGCGCGUUAAUCUUGGUGUGAAAGCCCGCGGCCCACCCGCGGGAUUGUAUUGGGAACUGGCGCGCUGGAGUCCCGGAGGGGUAGGCGGAAUUCUUAGUGUAGCGGUGAAAUGGGUAGAUAUUAGGAGGAACACCAGUGGGGAAGGCGGCCUACUGGACGGUGACUGACGUUGAGGUUGGAAAGCGUGGGGAGCAACCAGGAUUAGAUCCCCUGGUAGUCCACCCCGUAAACGGUGAAUAUUAGGUGUCGGGCCCCACUGGGGGGCCGGCUGCCGCCGCAAACGCAGUAAGUAUUCCACCUGGGGAGCACGUUCGCACGAAUGAAACUCAAAGGAAUUGACGGGGACCCGCACAAGCAAGUGGAUUAUUUGGUUUAAUUCGAAGCAAAGCGAAGAACCUUUCCCGGUCUUGACAUCGGAUGCAUAGCUACGCGAUUAGUGAAGCCCUUCGGGGCAUCCAGACAGAUGGUGCAUGGUUGUUGUCAUGCUCGUGUCGUGAGAUGUUGGGUUAAGUCCAGCACCGCGCGCAUCCCCUAUUGAUAGUUGCUACGCAAGAGCACUCUAUUGAGACUGCCGUGGACAAACCGGAGGAAGGUGGGGAUGACGUCAAAUCAUCAUGCCCCUUAUGAUCUGGGCUACACACGUGCUACAAUGGACGGUACAGCGAGAAGCGAACCCGCGAAGGCAAGCGGAUCUCUUAAAGCAGUUCUCAGUUCGGACUGUAGUCUGCAACUCGCCUACACGAAGCUGGAAUCGCUAGUAAUCGCGGAUCAGCACGCCGCGGUGAAUACGUUCCCGGGCCUUGCACUCAACGCCCGUCA
rnacentral:rRNA from 1 species